AUACAAUAUGGCGGCCGGAUCCUAACGCUCUCGGGCGAGGGGCCACCGCGGAGGUCCCAGCGCAGGACCCCGCCUCAGGGAGAGGAGGGCAGGCGCCCGCCUUCCUGCCCUUGUCUUUUCCGCGCAGGGUCGGCCGGGGGCUGUCGCGGGCAUCGGCUCGCAGGAUGAAGAACUAUAAAGCAAUUGGCAAAAUAGGUGAGGGAACGUUUUCUGAAGUCUUGAAGAUGCAGUGCCUGAGAGAUGGAAACUACUACGCUUGUAAGCAAAUGAAGCAGCACUUCGAAAGCAUUGAGCAGGUGAACAACCUCCGAGAGGUGCAAGCUCUGAGGCGCCUGAACCCACACCCGAACAUUCUUACAUUGCAUGAAGUAGUUUUUGACAGAAAAUCUGGUUCUCUUGCACUAAUAUGUGAACUUAUGGACAUGAAUAUUUAUGAGCUAAUACGAGGGAGAAGACACCCAUUGUCAGAAAAAAAAAUUAUGCACUAUAUGUACCAGUUAUGCAAAUCCCUUGAUCACAUGCACAGAAAUGGAAUAUUUCACAGAGAUGUAAAACCAGAAAAUAUACUCAUCAAGCAGGAUGUCCUGAAGCUAGGGGACUUUGGGUCCUGCCGAAGUGUCUAUUCCAAGCAGCCGUACACAGAGUACAUCUCCACUCGCUGGUACCGAGCCCCGGAGUGUCUCCUCACUGACGGCUUCUACACAUCCAAGAUGGACCUGUGGAGUGCUGGCUGCGUGUUCUACGAGAUCGCCAGUCUGCAGCCUCUCUUCCCCGGAGCAAAUGAACUGGACCAGAUCUCAAAAAUCCACGAUGUCAUCGGCACCCCCGCUCAGAAGACCCUCACCAAGUUCAAACAGUCGAGAGCUAUGAGUUUUGAUUUUCCUUUUAAAAAGGGAUCAGGAAUACCUCAACUGACAACCACUUUGUCCCCUCAAUGUCUCUCCCUCCUGCACGCCAUGGUGGCCUAUGAUCCUGACGAGCGAAUCGCUGCCCACCAGGCCCUGCUGCACCCCUACUUCCAGGAGCAGAGGGUGGCCGAGAAGCACUCCCUGGCCAGCCACGGAAGAGCUUUCUUUCCAGAGCACCCUGUGGUGCCUGAACUAUUUGGUCUCAACGGGCAAUUCUCAAAGGAGGGCAGAAAGCAGCCCUGCACUGCAGUCGGUGUUCGGCUCCGGGGCGAGCGGAAGAGUCCCGAUGUCCAGGCCCCUGAGGUGCCUCGGCGCCGGCAAGAAGAUGGACGCGCAGAAGGACAUCAAGCCCAGCCUGAAACCCUGCCGCCUGCCCACCAUCGACCGGAGAGGCGGACGGUGCUGACGGCGCACCGCCUCGGAGAGAGCAGGGCGCGCUGCGAGGACGGUGGACGGUGGACGGAGCCCGGAGCUCGCCCGCGCCAGCUCCCGACGCCCGGUGCCGACUGUUGCCUGGACUCCGCGGGCUUGCGCCCCGGGCAGCGGCGCUGCAAGGUGGAGCCCAGCGCCUUGGAAGCGCCUCCUCCUGGGCCCUGUGCGCUCCUGACGUGAGGAUGCAGGAAGAAGUAUUUUUGCAUCUUCUUAAAUCAAUCAAAACAAGAUAAACCGUGACUCUAUCAUGUGUGGCGAGGCCGGGCCUAAGGGCUCCCGUGGAUGAGGAGUGUGGCGCCCUCUCGGAGGAUGCUGAGACCCUGAGUUUUAUUAAAGAGUGAGCUGCCAGUACAGAACCUGUCCGUGUCCUUGCUGGCCACUCCUGCUGUAGCCCCUGCAGGUACCAGGGCAGCUGACGUCCUUGGGAAGAUGGAUGCAGCUUGUUUGGCUUGAGGAAAGCGCUGAGGAUAAGCACAGCUUGUGCCAGCGCCCUCGCUGCCCCUCCUCGAGUCAGCUGGGCACAGUGCCACGGUGGGAGUGCUGGCACAGGGUCUGUAGAGCCCCAGCUCCAGUGGUGUGUUGUUUUGGCUCCAGUGAGUGGUGUCCUCCUGGGCACAUGGGACAGGAACGUGGCAGAAGAGGGUGGUGCUGGCUGGCGGCUGGGUGCAGGAGCGGAGCCGCACCAAGCCUUUGCUCUCCGUUUAUUCUCGGGGUGCUGGGGACAGAGCAGGGCCCCACCCACACUAGGCACUCCACACUGAGCUGCUCCCCACCGCGGCGAAGCCCUUUCUGCCUUGGAAGGUCACCUAGUAAUUGAAUGAUCGUUCUUGUUUCUCAAACUCACGAUAUUAAAAAGAAAACAAUUUGCCAGGGUACUGUUGUCUCCUCUUCCCCUCUGUUGAAGCAAAUCUGUGACCCUUCCUGCCUUCCACGUCUCUCCAGUGGCCCCAGGAUGGCUGGAAGUAGGAGGGUGGACGUGGGGCCAUGCAGAGAGCCCAGGGAAGAGGAGCUGGCAGUGCAAGGGCAGCGUGGGUGAAGAAUCUUGGCAUGGAUGUCUGGUUGGGCAGGUGACAGUGACCGACACUGCCUUGGGGAGGGGUGGGACAAGGUUCCUUUGAAACUUACCAUCCCACCACAGCCUUUAGGGUGCCCUGAAGGGGCCCUGAUACGGGGAGGGAGGCCUCUGCUGCAGGCCUGGACCCUAGUGGCUCCACGGAGUCCUGCUGGCUGGCACAGGAGCGGGAGCUGCAAGGCAGGGAGCCCACUAGGCAUGGGCAGAGGCAGUGGGCACUGGAGACGUCCUGAGAGGUGCAGCGCGGGCACCCUGUGGUCCUGACUGGCUUUAGGUUAGGCAUACCUAGGGACAAGUAUUUGUACAUUUAGGAAUCGUUACCCCUUAAGUACGAGAACCAUGAAGGGAAAAUCUCUGGUUUGUCUCUGUGCCCUUUCGCAGAUGCUGGUGCCCAAGACCAAGUGCCCUCUGUCCCCAUGGCUAUUCCUCCCAUGGUAGGCAGGACGGGGCUGGGGCUGAGACAAGCCAGGUCGGGAGGGGGACCGCCUGGCUUCCAGCUGGUCUCUGCAAUAGUGUGGGGCCUGGCUCUGCACGUGGCAGGCCGUGCCCGUCAGCUUCCUGAGAGCAAGCCCCGUUUCCCGUGGACUUGGACAGGACACUCCUGUUUGCCAGCCUUGGGCUCCUGCGUGUCCCUUGCAGCUCACAUCAGCCAGGAAGUGUCAGCCCUUGUGGUUCCUGUUGGUCUUACAAUGGGCACGUGCUGACCAGGGCUGAGGGCAUGGGCCACACCCACCCUGACCCACAGGAGGCCGCCUCGCCCUGCCACCAGGGUCCCGUGGGGUGUCUGCCCACUUCCAAAUUGGAAAGGUGAAGUCUGGCUUAGCCGUCAUUAGUUUCCCAACCUUGCACUGUCGCCACAGAACUCCAGAAUGACCCUCCUCCCCAUCACCCGUCCAGAAUGCUCCUUGCAGGACUCUGUGGAGCCCCACUGUGCGCUUUAGAUCUUAGAGUGAGGAGUGGGGCCUGUGGAUGCUGGUCUGGGGCAGAGUGAGUGUGCCAAUGUCCCAGGCUGAGGAUUCAAACGCUGAUGGUCCCUCGUGUUGCAAACACACCCACAGAGCAGACAGAGUGCAGACGUGAAUGCCCACCAUCUCCUGCUCUGCUGCCUGCUGUGGGAAGGCCUACUGGGUUGGUCCUUGCCAGGCCACCCUUGAACACAGCAUGGGGGCAGCUAGGCUUGAGCUGGAUGUCACGCCCUGUACUGCCCACCUCCCCCCAGCUUCCUUUGUACCCAGUGCCACAUUCACCCAUUUACCACCUGUGAGAAAGUGUAAGGCCAGAGGGAGCAGCAGAUCCAAAUUGUACCAGGCAAGUUGAGUGACCCUCUCCUGGGGUCCACCUUGAGGCUGGCCUAUGCUGUCCAUCCAGGGCCUGCUGUGUGUCGAUGGCAGUUAGAGCUUGGAAGCCAUCGUGGACCAGUUGGCCAGGGACUAAUCUUAGGAACAGAGCCAGAAAGAUCUGUUCCUAGCAGAGGUGUCCACAGUAACUGCGACGCAUCUGACAGCUUCGGUGCGGCUGGGCAACCGCACACUUCAUCAAAACCCAACAGAGGGCAGCAGAGGCUGGGCUGAGGCACGCUGGCCAACGCACCAUGGUGACGCCAACUCAGGCUGUGAUCCCGCAACUGGGCCAUCUGUCCCAACCCUGCUUAUUGCCCCACGUCAAAUGAGUUUCUACCUGUCACUUCCUACACAUGGGAAGCAGAACCAGUGACCCAGCAUGGUCAGAGGACUCCCGGACUCGACUCUGAAGGGCGGCUCCUUCCGAUCGCCUGCAGCACCAUGGGCUCUUGGGUUUUCUAGCCAGUGCUUGGAUAGAAACACCAAACUACAUGAAAUAUGCUUGCACUUGAUUUUAAUAUGGUCAUUUGAAAAAUUUAUAUUUUUAGUCGUCGAUGGACCUUUCAUUUUUUGUUUGUAUGUGAUGCUGAGAAUGGAACCCAGUGCUUCACCCGUGCCAGGUGGAUGCUCUGCCACCGAACCACAGCCCCGGCCCUAAUGCAGUCACUUAAUGUCUGCUUUAUGAAUCCUGAUUCACUCAAGAAGCCAAUCUCAGUACUCCCAAAGGCUCAGGCCACCAGGCAAAUCCCCAACAGAGGCCCCUGGGCAGUGGUAGCUUUGGGUGCAGGCAGCUCAAGAACCAAGAAGAACCGACAACUCAGCAAGACCUGUGCUGGCGUGAGCUGUUGGAGUGGUGUCCCCUGUGACCGUGUGCACGUAAGACGGAAGUGUAGUACCUGGCGAAAGUCCCAAACUCCCUCAGCAUUUCCCCAAAUGAAUGUGAUAGAGCAAUGAGUUCCAGACACUCGAUGGCUUCAUCUCACCAAAUAGAACUUUCGAAGGAUCCAGCUGAAUAUGAUCUAAAAAAAAAAGAGCGGCCCGGCUGGCAUCUCAGCAUUGCCCUGCGGGUCUAAGAACCGGCGGCGUCACCAGCAGAGGCGGCCUGGCCCGAGCUGGUCCCAGACAUCUAGAAACGCCACCUGUGGGUUCUUCCGGCAGCAGUCAUGGCACAGUUAAGGAAGCACUUCCACACUCACCUUACAGACCGUGUCACGUAUGGUCACAGCUUUCAAGGACAAGAGAUGGGCUCCAACCCUAGGAAAAGACUUGCGUGCUGAACCCUCUUUCUACACACAUGCAGCUGCCCACGAUGCCGUGGACGGGGGAGCCUUGACGGGCACAGAACCAGAGCACUUCCAACCCCAAUGGACCGGCUUCACAUGGAAACAACUUCCUUGGGUGAGCAGCUGAGCACGCGGUGCGGCGCCACGUCACUGGUCCACACAGCCCUCGGGGACGUCUGCCUGACUGCCUGAGACCGGCCACCGUGGUGUGGCUCCAGCGUGGCUCCUGGCUCCGUCGUCCUCGGUCCCUCCAGCCCCGAGCGCGGUGGGGUUGCUACACUACAGUUCCACCUGGAGAACUGGCCUGGUGUGGGGGUGACAAGAAGCCCUGCGAACAAAGCAGUUUACAUUAAUCCAGCAAAACUGGGCAGCGGACAAAGUCCCCGUGCUCGCCCUUCACCAGCGGCGCCCUGAGGUCAGUUUCUGAGGGGACAGGCCCGUCCUGAUUUUUGCGGUGAAGAGCUGCACCUGCCUUGUGCUCCCACUCAAGCCCACGGCAGGGAGGAAACCUGCACACCGUGCACCUGGCCCAGGUCGCACGAAGGCAGCACCUGGGGAGUGCAGCCGACAGAGCAGCAGCCCGAGCGAGGGAAGGGCAGUCAGUGAUGCCUCGGGCCUGUGGCACGCCUCGUGCACCCUGGGGCGGCAGGUGGCCGACGGACAAGGGGCUCCACUGGCCUGAGCUUCAGGCACUGUCGGGCCACCAAGUGAAGAGGAGUGGGGCUAAGAUCCACAGCCAGGCCAGUCCUGACCCUUGGCUGUGCGCGGACAGGGUGCCCUGGCAUGGUCCCCGCCCGGGCUUGGAGAGUGCUACCUCUAGACCAGAUUUGGCCAAAGGUAAAGGCACAACUUCUUGGCAGCAUCUUUAACAAUCUAAAGAACAGGCGAGGGGCUGAGGCUGAGCUCAGUGGCAGGGCACUUGCCUAGCACGUGUGAGGCACCGAGUUCGAUUCUCAGCACCACAUAAAAUAAAUAAAUAAAAAAGGGUAUGGUGUCCAUUUCCAAUGGGGGGGACACAGGUGAAACUAACUCAAGAUCAGCUGAAUACAUGCCAGUUGUUCCAACAUGCUGACACUUCCUGUGGAAGGCCUUGGAGCCUGCUGUGCAGGUGGCACGCACAGCACCUUUCGGUUUGGAUUGGCUCCAGUCUUGGUAUUCAGUAGCACAGGUGGCCCAUGACAGCUACAAGGGCAGUGACGUCUGUCACCCUGCCCCUCCCUGAGGGUGACCACCCUGGAGGACUCAGCAACCCCUUUCCUUGAAGUCCUAGGAGAGGGGGAGUUGGAGACAAGGGGGGACCUGGGGUCCUCAUGUUAGCAGGGACACUGCCUGCACUGGCCACCUCCUCUCCCCCAAGUCACCCAACCCUGGGCCACAAGGGAACCCCAUUCCCAGCAGAGGAAAUGCACACUUGUUUCCCAGUGUCCGCUGGCCAAGGCCCUAGUCCUGGCUGCAGCGGCAGCCAGGCAUCAACUAAAACCAGCACACUCCUCUGCCACCACCCUUGUCCUCCCAUCCAAGGCUCAGGGGCGAGCGCAAGCUUCAAGCCUCCGCUCCCUCGACCGCGGGCACACCCGCUCUCCUCAGCUGCUGCAGUCCCUAGCAGGAGUCGGGUUCGCUGGUGGGUUCCGUCCUUGUCACGUCCACCCUGGUUAACAGCUACUUCAGAAUAAGUCCCUGUGCAGCAAAUAUGCCCUGGGAUCAAAGCCCAGGGCCCCUGCCCUGGCACCCUGAGCCAGGAAAUAAUCAACAACAGGUCAAUGCCCAGGCCCUGGGCACUUGGUUGAGGGCUUCCUGGAGCCCCUCCAUCAGAGCCGAGGCGCAAAUUGCCUCUGAGAAGUUACUGGGCUGAACGAGGACCAGGGGUCCAGCCCCUUCUCUGGCACGGUGGAGGGUACUGAGGCACAAGCUCCAGAGAGUGCUGGGUCUGCUGCGUCCCUCAGAGCAAGAGAGCGGGCAAUGCAAGGAAGGGGCCUCAGCCCUGGGUUGGGUUGGCGCUCCCAUGUCAGCAUCCAGCACAAGGGAGGACCAUCUGUCCUUGUCACAGGGUCACUGGAACAUGGACCUGGAUGCCCAUUCACUUCUUGGCGAUGGAACCGUUUUGCCAUGAUGGACAGUGGAGAGAAUGGGGGGAACAGGAAUCAAAAUGAGAUAAAAUCCAGGUUGCCUCCUUCCUCUUUGGAGCUGGGGUGGCCCUGUGCCUCACACAUGCUAGGCAGAUGCGCUGCCAGGAGAGCCACCUUCCUCCCUGCCUGUGCGUCCGCCUGGAGAGCACCGGGGUGGGACAGCAGCACAGACGCAGGCGCUCGGGGGCCUGCCCCGCCUGGUGACCAGCUGCACGGCCUCACCCGAGUCAAAUGCACAGUGAUCCUGCUGCCCCCUGGGCUGCUCCCUUGGGCAGGAAUAGCGAAGGAACCUGAGGUCCAGUCAUCCUCAGCAAGCUGUGUGACCCACGGCAGUGUGCACCAGAAAUGGAACAGCCGACACUGAGGCUUCACAAACAGCCAUUAGGCAAGAGAAGCCUCAGCGGAGUGACGCCACAUUAGCCCCAGGGAGGAAGUCUACCCGGGUAGCCACAGGUCCCGAGUCGGCCAGGAGCUGACUGGCCUCAGCAGAGCUGCACUCCAUUCCUCCUCCAGCUCUUCGCUUGAAUGUGAAUAUGAUUUACAGGAGUAAGCAAGAGAAUUAAACUUUGUUCCAGUAGAAUGUACCGGAAAACAGAAUUGUUUUAAAAACAAUUUACAACAAAGGAACGUGUCCAUGUCCCUGCCCUCGUGGGCACUGCUGAUAGGUGAGUCUGAUAGCAAGACACGACUCUGGGGUCAAGAGGUUCACGCCAGGGAAUGAUUGUGUCCUGAAGUUCUGUCAGGCCCGCGCUGGCCUUCUGGCUGGGUCCUGGGAGGGCUUCCCCAUCGACCCUGCAAACUCUGGCCGAGGAGACAGAAGCUCCAGGGACAGUUGUAGAAUGAGGUAUGGGUGGAAGGCCACCUUACCAGCUCAUCCACCUAGGACUGGCCAAAGCCCACUCUGGUCACUCUCCCCACCCCAAAAACAACAAGCAGACCAGUCUGGGGCAGGUUCUACUGCAGACAACACAGCUUCUCUCUUGAGGGCCAGUAACCAAAGUGCCAUGUGCACCUGCCUUCCGUGAGGCACAGUGAGACUCUUCACUGAGCUGUGCCAGCUCCAGCCGCGACUUGCCUCAGAUGAAGGCCAAGAGCCCGGCUCUGUAACAUGAUGCCUUUUUGGAGAUGGCACACAACAUGGCUGACCUCCUCUCACAACGUGCCUCAUGCUGGACACCUUCCCCCAAGAAUCACUACACAAACCCCGCCUGGAAGCAGAGAAGAGCUGGACAGAGGAGUCACUGUUCACUCUUCUAAGGUGGGAGUGAGGUCAAUGGUCAGGUUUGGGAAGCCCAGGGAGGUUGCUCCCACCCAGACUGGCUGUUCACCAUGGCACCCUGGACCUGGCCCCCAGCAGGCCACACUGAAGGUGGCACAAAAGAGGCCAUGCAACCUGUCUCUACUGAGAAGAGCCACCCAGGGAAAAUCAUCAUGUUUUGACAUCUGGGAGCAGAGGAAGUAAAAGGCACAACCAGGUAGGUGGUCCUGAGACCCCUGUACAGAGAAGCAAGCACUCGCAGCCAGGCCAAGGCCCUCUCAGCCCAGGAAUCUAGUCUGUGUCCCCUUGAAGCACUUCCAGCUGGCCACACUUGAAGAGAGUGCCUGGCCCAAAGGGGAGGCCGGCUUUGCGGGUCAGCACUAGAAGGGGAGGGAAGCCUGUGUCCCUCUCCAGAGACCCACCGACUCAGAAUUACCAAACCACCACUUAUUUGCAUAGACAGCCACAAAGGAGGGAUGGCUAUGUAAUUUUUUUCAAGGUAUGAACUAUCUUUUUUUAAUCAAAAUGUUAGUUUUCUUUAAAUAAACAAACAAAACAACGUGCCCUCUUGCCCUCGACCUGCCUUUUAGGGCUUAGAACGUACUCAGUGCUGAGAAGCAGCCAUGUGUUGCUCCCAGGGCAGCUGGUGGAGGGGCCACCCAGCAGCUGAGCUCUGAGCGCCCUAUCCACCUGGCAGCUUGGAGCCAAGGCAAAGCGAGCCAGAGAAGCGGGGAAAGGGGCAGGAAGUGAGAAGGCCAGCUCCGCCUCCUGCCACUCACCUCUGGCUCAGCAGCAUCUGGAGAUGGAGGGGCCAGAGUCCUGCUCAGAUAGUCGGUCCAGAGGGAGUGAGGGACUCUCGCAGCAGGAGGAUACAAAUCUCUGGUUCCUCCUGCUCCACAUGGAGGGUGGCCUGACACCUGCUCCUGCCGCUCUUGACGCACUAGGCUCAGCGCCAGCCUCUACAGCAGGACAGCCCCAACAGCCAUCACGGACCUCCAGUCACCGAAUCAGGCUAGGAGCAGGGACAUCAGAAAUCUAUCAAGGAGAAGAGCCCCUACAGAAAGGCCUGCCAGCACCCUCCACUGGUUCCACUGGCCGGCUGGAUGGCUCAGAGCGCCAGAGGCCUCACACUGACCAAAGCAGCUGGCAGUGUGGCCGACUUCAGAGGGUCGGCAUUCUCAGGAAGCAGAAGCCCUUACAGGAAGCAGUCGGCUGAGAGCCAACCAGAGUCCUUCCCCUGGACUGCAGUCAGCAUGGACAGGGGCACAUAAAACAGUAUCUCUGGUACCCCAACACACACUUCAUUUGGUAAGAUUCUAAUUAUGAUAAUCAGUAUUGGUACUAAGAGGCAGUGAUUUCUAAGGCUGUUUCAUAAACGUUAACAAGGCCCUUAAUUUUACAUCAUUUUUAAGUUUUCUCUUGGUUCAUUGAGUUUUUUUAAAGCUUAGAUAUGAAAAUAACUAUUAAAAAUUAUCUACAUUUACAAUGCAUUCACAUGUUUAUUUAAUGUCAACAUACAGAGGUCAACCCCCAAGUACUUCAGAAUGUCAAGUGUGAAGGUAAAUCUCUUUAGCUUUGACAGUGACAAGGGAACAGCUAAAAAACAAAGCAAUGAAACAGAAACAUGAUUUUCUUAAAAUUAUAAAGUAACAAUUCUGAUAUUCAAGCUUCAUUAAUUAUUGCAACAGUUAAGAACUUAAUUUACUGAUAUAUGUUAGGAAGGCCCUUAUUUUUCAAAUUUAUUCAAGUUGUCAAGAAAUUAGAUAAAAAUGUAAAAAAUAAAUACAUGUGAAUUUUACUUUUGAUUUUCACUAAAGGUAAAUAUCCAUACAAUUUUACAGUGUCACCUGACAAUCUUUAAUAAA